UACGGAGGGUGCAAGCGUUAUCCGGAUUCACUGGGUUUAAAGGGUGCGUAGGUGGGUUGGUAAGUCAGUGGUGAAAUCCCCGAGCUUAACUUGGGAACUGCCAUUGAUACUAUCAAUCUUGAAUACCGUGGAGGUCAGCGGAAUAUGUCAUGUAGCGGUGAAAUGCUUAGAUAUGACAUAGAACACCAAUUGCGAAGGCAGCUGGCUACACGAAUAUUGACACUGAGGCACGAAAGCGUGGGGAUCAAACAG
rnacentral:rRNA from 1 species